CUCAAAUAACUGUCUUAAGUCCACAAAUCUUACCGACAUUCCCAAUACUUCUCCGUUUCUCACAGAAUUCCUAUCUUCAUCCGCUUACCCUUGCUCUCAAGUCUCAAUCCACAUCUUUAUCCUCCCACGCCUUAUUAGGAGACGCUUGGAAGACUACAAAACUCUAAACUGAAAACGCUUACUCAAUCACACUAAUUCUUUAUUAUCGAACAACUCACUGAUCC
rnacentral:lncRNA from 1 species